rnacentral:tRNA from 1 species
AGGUGAAGCUUGUAGCGUUUAACUGUUAAUUAAAAGAAGCAAAGAUUUUUGCCACUUAAA